CAAGGAACCAAAGGCAAACGCAACAGAGAGAGAGAAUCUAGAAAAUGUCACAGCUUCACUUCCCCUUCCCUAUCCCUCUGAAACGCCCUUCUCUCCACCUCCGCAGGCUGACCAUGUCCUUCUCUUCCUCUUCUUCUUCCUCUUCUUCUUCUUCUCCUUCACCUUCGACGACCCACCUCAAGGACGACCCCGUCCUCGACGCUCAGAGCCUCUCGCUGGUCCUCACGUACCACGACCGGACCAAGCACGCCUUCACCAGCUACGCCAGAGGCCCCCGCGGCCUCGACUGGGCGAACCAGCCCAACCCAUUUCGCCGCUACGCCCCCGCGCCACUCCUCCCUCUCCUCCACCUUCCCGCCGACGAUCCGUCGCCGGGUCUCGACGGCCCUCCGUACUCCUCCCUGUUCCGUUCGCUCCCUCCCCCGGAACCCAUCUCCAAGGCCACCGUCUCUCGGCUGUUCUACGACUCUCUCGCGCUCUCCGCCUGGAAGACCGCGGGAUUCUCCACUUGGUCGCUCCGGGUUAACCCCAGCAGCGGCAAUUUGCACCCGACCGAAGCUUACUUGAUCGCCCCGGGCGUCGAGUCGCUGUCUGAUUCGGGUUUCGUCGCCCAUUACGCGCCGAAGGAGCAUUCCCUGGAGGUAAGAGCCGCUUUGCCAUCUGGGUUCUUUCCCAAGUUCUUUCCCGAGAAUUCUUUCCUCGUCGGUCUGAGUUCCAUCUUUUGGCGAGAGGCUUGGAAGUAUGGAGAGCGAGCCUUUAGGUAUUGUAAUCAUGAUGUGGGUCAUGCAAUUGCUGCGGUUGCGAUGGCGGCCGCGGGGCUUGGGUGGGACGUGAAGCUUCUCGAUGGGUUGAGUCAUGAGAAUGUGAAGAGGCUGAUGGGACUUCAUGUUUUCCCCGAAUUCGAAAUCCCGUCUAGGCCUGUUAAGGGGAAGAUGGUAGACAUUGAAUUUGAGCAUCCAGAUUGUGCACUAGUUGUUUUUCCUAGGGGAAUUGGUGAAUUCAAUGUGAAUUAUAGGGAAUUGAGCUCAGCUUUGUCGGAGUUUCCGAGAUUGGAAUGGAAGGGGAAGCCUAAUGUGCUUAGCAAGGAGCAUGUUUGUUGGGAUAUUAUAUAUAGAACGGCUGAGGCUGCGAAGAAACCCUUGACGGCAGGGGAUAGAUUUUCCAUUGAUCCAUUUUGUGAGAGUGAUAGUCAUAGCGAAAAUUCGUACAAGGGAUUUAGUGCUAGGGAAGUUGUAAGGAAGCGUAGAAGCGCAGUGGACAUGGAUGGAGUGACUGCAAUGGAUAGAGCCACAUUUUAUCAGAUACUGUUGCAUUGUGUUCCUUCGGGUUCUGGGAAUGGAGGAAAGCAGAAGAAACAGCUGGCAUUGCCAUAUCGAGCUCUUUCUUGGGAUGCUGAGGUGCAUGCUGCCUUGUUUGUUCACAGAGUGACCGGGUUACCGAAGGGUUUGUAUUUCUUGGUGAGGAACGAAGAUCAUUUUGAGAUGCUCAAGAAAGCUACGAGGCCUGACUUUGAGUGGGUGAGACCAGAGGGAUGCCCUCCUAGUCUUCCUUUGUAUCAACUUGCUAGAGGUGACUGUGAGCAGCUAGCAAAGCAGCUAUCAUGCCAUCAGGAUAUUGCCGGCGAUGGCUGCUUCAGCCUUGGAAUGGUGGCUCAUUUGGAGCCUGUGUUGAGUGACAAGGGCCCUUGGAUGUAUCCUCGGUUGUUUUGGGAAACUGGAGUGCUUGGCCAGAUUUUGUAUCUGGAAGCGCAUGCUGUUGGCAUAUCUGCAACUGGAAUCGGCUGCUUCUUCGAUGAUCCGGUGCACGAACUUCUUGGUCUUAAAGGGUUGAACUUCCAAAGCUUGUACCAUUUCACAGUGGGAGGCCCAGUUCUUGACAAGAGAAUAAUGAGCUUACCAGCUUAUCCUGGACCCAAGGUUGAUGCAUAAUUGUGUUUACAUGAACUCUCAACAAGAUUCCAAGGAUCCAUAUGGACGAGUUUUAUUGAUGUCCAAGGGAUAGCUUACCAUGCGCAAACCUGAGGAACAUGCUCAGGAGUUCAUUGUGGGGGCAAAAAGAGCCAGUUCAUUAAACUAAAUAAAAAUGAAGUGAAAGAAUCAUACCCUUUGUCCCGGAGCCAUGUAAUAUCACGUCAUAUGCUGAUGCGAGUGCUGCUCUGUUGGCCAGGAAGUACCUGAUAGUUGAGAUUAUUGGUAUUCAAUAAUUUAAGUCUACCACAUCAAGCCAAUCGCAUUUCAAGAAUAUAUGAGACACGCACAUGAUCCUGUUAAAUAAACACUAAUUUCCAUACAUUUCUCAGUAAUGUUAUCGGUUCUAUUUGUGACGGUAUCCCCAGUGUUCACUUGAGGUGCGUUCCCGGUGUGCAGCAGGAUAAGCGGAAACAACUCCAAAAGCCUAUUGGGGAAUAAAUUGUUACGAAUACGAUACAGUCGUUGCUCAUCACAUCUUUCAGGAAAUUUCUAGGCGGCGGGCGUGGCUCAAGGUUGGAGGGAGUCCCCGUGAUUUGGACAUUCAUAUCGAACCUGACUCAUUCGAACCAAAGUCCUCAAUUACUCAGCUUACCCUUUUUACCCUCACAUGCACACCGAGUGUAAAUCACGAGUCCGCCCGAUUCGAAUCCGUCUGAUAAGCCGGUUUCGAUUUCAGUGCAUCUCACUCAAAACAUCACAUGAGGGAGGUGCCUCACCUUGCAGACGAACCAUCUUUUUAU